GACGAACGCUGGCGGCGUGCUUAACACAUGCAAGUCGAACGGAAAGGCCCUGCUUUUGUGGGGUGCUCGAGUGGCGAACGGGUGAGUAACACGUGAGUAACCUGCCCUUGACUUUGGGAUAACUUCAGGAAACUGGGGCUAAUACCGGAUAGGAGCUCCUGCUGCAUGGUGGGGGUUGGAAAGUUUCGGCGGUUGGGGAUGGACUCGCGGCUUAUCAGCUUGUUGGUGGGGUAGUGGCUUACCAAGGCUUUGACGGGUAGCCGGCCUGAGGGGGUGACCGGCCACAUUGGGACUGAGAGACGGCCCAGACUCCUACGGGAGGCAGCAGUGGGGAAUAUUGCACAAUGGGCGGAAGCCUGAUGCAGCAACGCCGCGUGCGGGAUGACGGCCUUCGGGUUGUAAACCGCUUUCGCCUGUGACGAAGCGUGAGUGACGGUAAUGGGUAAAGAAGCACCGGCUAACUACGU
rnacentral:rRNA from 1 species